CUUCAGUAAUCGAGGAAACUGAGAAAAUCGUUUCUGAAAAUUUGAAAUCGAUUCAUUUAGUAGACCAAUAUGAUAUAAAUAUAUCGAAAUAUCAUAACAAUGAUCGUUUUAUACAACAAUUAAAAGCAGUUCAAUGAGUUUCUUCAGUUUAAAAAAUUUAUAGAGUAUACAAAUAUCUUAAAAAUUUUAGUGAGUUCAUUCAAAUUGAUCAGUUGAGCGCGUACUUAUUCACGUACCCUCUACAUACUCUACUGAAGUGUGCGGUGUGCUAUCAUUUAUUAAUUUUGGAAGAGAUAAAAUAUACUGAAAAGUUCAGGAGAAAAUAUCUCCCAUCUUGCUAAAGUAUAACUUUUAAAAAUGACUUACUGGAGACAAGCCGGAUUUUCAUACUUAAGGUUUUCUGCUAUUUGUGCUCAACAUGUCCGUGGAGCAUUGAAGCAAGAAUUUAAAAAGGCAGAAGCAGCUAAGAGUACGAUAAAACAAACUUUAUGGAAGGAAGGAAA